rnacentral:lncRNA from 1 species
AGAACAUGCAAGGGGAGAACAUCCCGAGAGGAGCUUGUUCCUCCACAUUUCAGUGUUUUCAUUGUAGCUCUCAGAAAACGGUAAGGCCUCAGUCUGUGAUUUGUGUUUCAGAUCUAACAGAAGCCACUCACUCUCAGGACAGGCUUGCACUGGAGCUGUGGAACGGCUCUAGUUUGACCUGUGUGUCCAGACACAGACCACUGCAGGAUAGAGGCGCGCCCCCUGGUGGUCCUCGUGGGGUGUCACACAUGUCUGCGGCGCUGGGACGACUCCUGGAGCUGGUGGAGAAGAACUGGACCGGACCCAGGUCUCUACAAAGAAACGCUGCCUUCCUCGAAGGAGCCUAUGACCUGCUGUCGGAGCUGAUGGCUCUGCCAGAUGAAGGCGGAGUUAGGUUAAAGCCGGGGAACAGUGAAGUGACGGUGCUCAGGAGGAGACUGGAGAGAAGUGAACAGCAGCUGGAGCGGAUGAAGAAACGUUUGGUGGUGACAUUAAAAGAAAACUAUGAACUGAAACGACGGAGGGACUUCCUUGAUCAAUGAUAACCAUCUUUUACCACUGAGAAGCACGUUGACUUUUGUCUGCAAAAAGAGCUAAAUUUCUUUUUAAUGUCCUCCAUUACACACAGCAAACUUUGUAUUUCAAAUCAAGGUGUUCCCUGUUAUUCCUUCUGGCAGAAACCUUACUUAUGUUUAGUGCUUCAAUGUAAAAGACAUUUGUAACACAGUCAGUCGUUUUUUUUUUUCUCCCAAAGUUGUGUUUAUUUUCAAGUAGAAAGUUCCAGCUGAUAUUUACACGCAUGUACAGUCGAUCCGCUCCAAGCUACAGCUAUGGAAGACUUUAACAACACAAGAAACAAACUCAUCUUUAUAAACUAUGACUGUUUAAAUAUUUACAAAACAAACUACUGGAACUGUAGCUCUGAACAGAUAAAUAACAAAAUACUUUCAACAAUUAAAAAAAAAAAAAAACUAAAAGUGAAUCUUAACAGUGCUCUCUCUGUGUCUGCGUCAGGACCUGUGGAACAAAGGAAACAAGUGAAAUGGGUCAAUCUACUUCACUUUAGCAGCAACAGAUUUGGGUGUUAAACCACACGUAAAAAGUGCUUACUUUGAACUCCUCGGAUCACACUAUGGUCGCUGGACCUCCGUUCUGGCAUAAAAUGAACAAGGCAUAAAUUAUACACUUCAAAUAUAUUUUACUCAUAUCACAAAGCUCUAGAAACAUUAGCAUCUUUUUAGAAUAGUUAAACAUCCCCAUGAAUCCUUGAGAAUCAUAACAGUUGGAGAAAAGGGUAGGAUUAAUUUAUGGAACAACUGGUGCUGCUUUUGACACUUGUUGGCACAAGAAGCAGAUAAAACAUUUAAAACUUUGUAAAAUAUAAAUGUUUUGGUGUGUUAUAUUUUCAGCACAUAUGUAUUGAUGCCCAAUAUGCAUAAAACAGACAAAGUUACAAUGUGUUCAAAUUUAAAAAAAAGUAAUCACUUAUUGAGUGCCAAAAUAAAGCAUGACAAAACUGUGCUGUGAUUAAAUUCACUUUAAUUGCAGCAUGAGGCAUAAAUAACUGAGAAAGAACCAACUACUACAUUAUAAUCAGAGGUGGGUAUGUACUUUUGGUAAGACUUUAUUUGAUACGUUGUACCAACCAAAUUUAGUACAAUGUAUAACAUGUACUAACUUAUACCUAUGGGUUACAUACCCAAAGGAAUAAAAUGUAUAAAUAGUUUGGAGUUACCUGAUGCAAUAUGAAACCCUAACCCCGAACAUCUACUUAUUGUUAUUUUCAUCACUUUUUAUGAAAUGUUUAUAUAUUUGUUUACAAUGAUUCCAUGCUGUGCAGUUUCCUAGAAAUGCCCAGUAGGUGGCAGUAGUGGAACAUUAGUCUUUAAGAUAUGUUGUGGUUUGGAUGUUUGCUUUCUAAUCCGGCAAAUCUGGAAUAACUUGUCUUGAGCCAUUGUGGCACAACGUGAAAGGUCGGAGGCAGUUGGUUUUUAGUUGUUUGCUUCUACUUUAAGAACAAAACUAAAUGCUAACAUUGACUCAAAUCUUUGAUUAAUUCGGCCAAAAUACUAGGCGACAGUCUGCCUGGAUGGAUGCAAGUUGCUAGCAUGUGUAUAUAAAACUCGACAACUGGAACACUGAAACUUGAAAAAAAAAAGACUUUCCGAGUUCCAAGCUCCCAGGACAAAUGGAACGCAGCACAAGGGUCUUAUUACAUUGUGUGAUUCCAAAGUACUAAUACACAUUAUUCCAUUAUGUAUGUACUACCUUGGUACAAGUUAAUUCAAGUUUCAGGAUUCAAAAUAUUUUAUUGUCAACUCGUAAGAAUCAGCAUUUUACAUACAUUGUACUAAAUUUGGUAGCUACAAAGUAUCAAGGCAAGUGUAACUGUAGUUUUUAAAAAAGGAAGUAAAGAGAUUAAUCUUUAAGUGACAAAUCUUCAUUUUGAUGCGUAAAAUCGAUGUAUUUUGUGUUUUGUUUCUCAUUAUUUAUGUCACUACCGAGACAUGAAUCAGACAUUACCUAACAGUUACUCUGUACUCAAGUCAAACUUUAUCCAAGUACUUUGUUGUCUUAGUUGAGUAAAUAUCGGGGCUACUCUUCCCACCUCUGAUUACAAUGCAGUUAACGGUGGUAAGUUUGAACUCACGGUUGAAAUGAAUGGGCUACUGAGGUGCUGCUUGUUGGAUGAGGAUGAGGAGGCCUGGCUGGGGUUGGGCUCCUCCUGUAGCGCCUCCUGGAGGUGGGAGGACACACAGCCGCUGUCUGAGCCGGUGGAUCCGGAGAGACAGCGGGACGAAGAGCCCGAGCUUUCUGUGGCUGAGAGAAAGAAAUGCGUUAAACGGUUGUAAAAAUAUUCCUUUUAAACGAUUGCUAGAUGAGGUAAAUAUGAAGGAAACUCACUCAUUGAAGGCUGGCUGCUGGUCUCGUGCUCCUGCUCGUCUUCCUCGAUGCACGAGUUCAUGAAAGAGCCCUCAGCGGUGCCAGCAGGGGGCAGCGUUUGACUGUGAGAGACACAACACCAUGAGAUAUCUGCUUCACAGGAUAAACCUUUAGGGAGUAGGCGCUGGCGGUACCUGAACAUGUGCAGGUUGAGGGGCCCCAGGAGGCUGCAGGAGGACGGUCCCGGGACGGCAGAGGAGUCAGAGGUCACAGAUCUCUUAAAUGGGUUGGAGUGGUCGAAGACAGAGACGGCUAUAGACGCUCUGGUUCGGGCACCUGUGAAAACAUGAAUAUUAUAAAGCAGUGAUAAAGAGAGACAUUUAAGCUUCAAUUUUGCCAAGUAGUAAAUGUACCAUCUACGUUAAUGAAUACAUUUAGUAAUAGUAUUACUUUAUAAAGACAUGCUGUAACGUCUUUCGAAUUGAUCCACCAAAGCAUCAUUCAUCAGGGUAAAUGUUCAUAAACACAAUGUUAUUUUUUGGAGGAUUGGACGAGGAAAUGUACAACUUGAUCAAAACCGGUUUAAUAUAGUGAGAAGUGCCGUUUUGCUUGAUUGAUUUUGUCUCGUGUUACCUCUGCUCUUCAUGAUGUAGCGCACGGCCCGGUCGCUGAUGGCGGCGUCGCUCGGCUGAAUGUCCAGAAACGGUUUGCUCCCGACGCCCAUCGACACCAUCUCCUUCAGUCGCAUCUCUGGAAAACACAUUUACACUUUAAUAAACGCCUGAUCCUCAACGGUGUUUUCUAAAUGCUCAUCAGGUAGACUGCAAGGUGAGGUGGUAAUCGUAAUAUACAACUAAAUGUAGGAUCCUGAAGCUUUCUAUCACAAACGUCUGCAAUAAAUUGCCACCAGUUUUGUAAACAGCAUGGAGGUGACCAUGGGACCACACUAUCUGGGCCUAGAACUGUAAAGCCAGAUCUUUCUCACACUAAAAUUUUAGUUUUUGAGUUUUUAUUAAAGCUGCUGUAAAAGUACCACCUCUUGCAAUGUGUGCCAACUCAGCAACCAACAAGUACCAACAUGCCCAGAUCAAAUCCAACCUAUACAGGUUCUAAACUAUAAUAGGCUAUAUUGACAAAAAGAAGAAAGUCGUUACUGAACACGAUCCGUUUACAUUUGCAUAUUUAGACCUGUGUACCUUUGUUCCUCGUGGCCUGAUUCCAGAGCAGGCGUGCGAUGUCGCUGGUCCAGGCAUGUUUGACCUCCGUGCUCGAGGCCUGCAGGAGGAACGUCUGGUUCUUGGAGGUUCUCCGUCUGAACCAGAUCUCAAAGCGCAGUCCGUCGUCUCCAGUCGACUCAGUCAGACCCACAUCAGCCGACUGGAAAAAUGAAUAAAACAUUUAACCAAGUCUGUUUGGUCUGAAUAUUUUCACGUUAGCGUCGUCGUUACCUUGAAGGAGUGCUUAUAGAUGUAGACGUCCAGCCCGCCCUCCAUGCGUUUGGGUUUACUGAACAGAACCAGGUCCUCGAACAGAAAGACGUGACGCUGACAUUUCCUCCUCCCGCUCCAGACCGUGAACUCGUCCUGACGAAUCAGCUGACCCUGCUCCUUCAGAUUCACCUACGGAGACACCAAACAUACACAAUAUUACAACCGUAAGAGAAAU